rnacentral:lncRNA from 1 species
GAAUUUCUAUGUUGGGGCAUGCAUGUAUGUUUUAAAAUUUUAUUUUCUAAACAUCAUAGCAGAAUAGAAGAUUAAAAUUCUUUUUAAUCUAUAUCAUGCAUGUAUAAAACAUAAACCACAAGAUCUACUUCAUAUGCUGAAAUUGUACAUAUGCUGAAAUUUAAUAUGUGAUCGAAUCGCAUACCUGUUUUGUAAUUUUUUUUUUUCAAA